rnacentral:rRNA from 1 species
GUGUCAGCCGCCGCGGUAAAACGUAGGAGGCGAGCGUUAUCCGGAUUUACUGGGCGUAAAGCGUGUGCAGGCGGCCCGACAGGUCGGGCGUGAAAUCCCCUGGCUUAACUGGGGGAGGUCGUCCGAAACCGUGGGGCUUGAGGGCCGAAGAGGGACGUGGAAUUCCCGGUGUAGUGGUGAAAUGCGUAGAGAUCGGGAGGAACACCAGUGGCGCAGGCGGCGUCCUGGUCGGCCCCUGACGCUCAGACACGAAAGCUUGGGGAGCGAACGGGAUUAGAAACCCCUGUAGUCC